rnacentral:tRNA from 1 species
UUUCUCAUAGUUUAUAAUAAAAAUAUUACACUGAAAAUGUAAAGAAAAAUUUAUUUGAGAAAA